UACUGAUAAUAUUUUUAAUAAUAAAAAUAUUAUCCUUCUAUGUGUAUAACCUAUACAUUAUUCCAUGAUAUUUUAAUAUAUCAUCUAUGUAUUCGAUUAAUUAAUUAAUUAAUUUGUCAGUCUCUCUUUAAUUUUGUGAAAUUGUCUCGGUUGCCUCAUAGUAGUUCCAGCCCUGAUGACCAUUGACCAUGGACGAGAACCUAAUUGAAUAGGGAAGGCUGAAGAAUUGGAUGUGUAACGAGAUGGUUUUAAUGGCCGAAAAAUCUCAAAGAAGAAGAAGAAGAAGAAGAAAAUUAUUAGGAAUGCAGUUAGAAGUUAAUAAAAUUAAUAUAUAUUUAUCCAGAGAAAUUAAAUUAAUAGGCUACCUAGUACAUUAUAGAGGUAGUCAAUAUUUUGAAAAAGAAAAACUAGAUGAAUAUUUGUUCUGUGAAAGAUGUUGAUGAUAAGGUACUGCUGAUUAAAAGUUUUCAAUUGAAAAAGCACCAAAUGUUUUAUGCAUUCAGUUGAAAAGGUAAAUUAUUGCUUGAAUGAAAAUUAAUUAUGUAUAUGCUGACACUACACAGCUUUUGGUCUAACACCCUCUGGAUCAUAUUAAUAUUUUAAUGUUUUAAAUAUAAUUAAUUAUGUUUACAUGUUUAUCAAACAAUUUCAAAAAGUAUUCAAAGAGUAAUGAUUCAAAUAUAAUAUUUUAUGAAUUUAAACUAUCAGAAAAUAAAAUACAUAAGCGUGGAAAUGAUACUUUAGAAUUGGACAGUUGUAGUGAGUGAUCCAAAGUGCGGCUUGCAGAUCACAAUUAUAAUGGCGACUUAAGUCUCAAAUUAAUAGCAAAACAGAUGGAAAAUGUUUAGAUGGAAAUAGUUCUCUUGAUGAUAAACCUUGAUGAGUUUAAAAUUGUAUAGAUAACAUACGAAUUUUUAAUGUUGAUUUUUGUGCAAAUUAUAUGUAAUUUUUGUACCUUUGGCGUUUCUAUCAUGUAGCUCAAUAUUUUACUCUUAAAUUAAUAUCUUUGAAUUUGAUCCCUAUCUUUUUUAUACAAAAAAAAUAAAAAUUUUAUUAAUUAAUUAAUUUGUAAUAACCAAAAUGUUAUUAGGUAAUAAUUUAAAGUUAGAUAACAUACAUUUUACAUCAUUACCUACAUGGUUACUUUGAAUUAAAUAUCUUAAUAAUUGUAUUGUUUUUACUACACAAAAAUAUUUAGUAACACAAUACACAAGAAUUUAUUUAAUUUAUCUCACAAGAAUGGAGAAAUAAUAAAAGCUAAACAAUAAUUUAAAAAUUAAACCGAAGACGUUAGAAAUGCAAUAGAUAUAUUAUAGCUGAAUUUUUUAGUAAGUAACCAAUACGAAAACAAAUAAAUACCUAGCCAUAUUGUAUUAAAUAUACAUAAUAUGAGGUUAUCAGGUCGGAAAAUGCUGAGUUAUAAGGAAAAGUUCUUACCCAUUGAAAAAAUAAUACACAAAAUGGAUAUAAAAGUGAAUUUCAACUUCAAAUUCUUCUGGUGCCCGAAGUAUCCCUCAACCUGUUCCCAUUUGUUUAAGAGAUUACACCAAUUACUUGACAAGUUAAUGAGCAACGCCAUAGUGACGGCUGAUCCACCAAAAAACAAAACUACACCUGUAAACAAUUCUCUGUAUUGUCAUGAUUAUAAUAUAAUAUAAUUAUAAUAAUCUGUCGAA